rnacentral:rRNA from 1 species
UAAUUGAAGAGUUUGAUCAUGGCUCAGAUUGAACGCUGGCGGCAGGCCUAACACAUGCAAGUCGGGCGGUAACAGGGAGAAGCUUGCUUCUCUGCUGACGAGCGGCGGACGGGUGAGUAAUGUAUGGGGAUCUGCCUGAUGGCGGGGGAUAACUACUGGAAACGGUAGCUAAUACCGCAUAAUGUCUU